UACGUAGGUGGCAAGCGUUGUCCGGAAUUACUGGGCGUAAAGGGCUCGUAGGCGGCCAACUAAGUCAGACGUGAAAUCCCCAGGCUCAACCUGGGAACUGCGUCUGAUACUGGAUGGCUUGAAUCCGGGAGAGGGAUGCAGAAUUCCAGGUGUAGCGGUGAAAUGCGUAGAUAUCUGGAGGAAUACCGGUGGCGAAGGCGGCAUCCUGGACCGGCAUUGACGCUGAGGAGCGAAAGCCAGGGGAGCAAACGGG
rnacentral:rRNA from 1 species